UUGCGCCUGCGGAGGAUGCAGCUCCGUCCAUCAAAAGCCUUGCAGGCGGCAGAGGCGGCGUACCAUCCGGUGAUCGGCAAUUUUGCCGAUUCAAAAUCUUUC
rnacentral:sRNA from 1 species